rnacentral:snoRNA from 1 species
UCGUACAAGACCAACACCAUUCUGGGUGCAUAGGAAUGAUAGGGACCCAUAAGGCCUGGUAUACAAAGGCAGCAAACUGCAGCCUUCUGGGCAGUGUUUGAAGCCCAUUUCUUGUACAGUUUUCCCUAAGAGGCCUUGGAACCAGUC